UCUUGGUCAUUUAGAGGAAGUAAAAGUCGUAACAAGGUUUCCGUAGGUGAACCUGCGGAAGGAUCAUUACCUAGAGUUUGUGGGCUUUGCCUGCUAUCUCUUACCCAUGUCUUUUGAGUACUUACGUUUCCUCGGUGGGUUCGCCCGCCGAUUGGACAAUUUAAACCCUUUGCAGUUGCAAUCAGCGUCUGAAAAACAUAAUAGUUACAACUUUCAACAACGGAUCUCUUGGUUCUGGCAUCGAUGAAGAACGCAGCGAAAUGCGAUAAGUAGUGUGAAUUGCAGAAUUCAGUGAAUCAUCGAAUCUUUGAACGCACAUUGCGCCCCUUGGUAUUCCAUGGGGCAUGCCUGUUCGAGCGUCAUUUGUACCUUCAAGCAUUGCUUGGUGUUGGGUGUUUGUCUCGCCUUUGCGUGUAGACUCGCCUUAAAACAAUUGGCAGCCGGCGUAUUGAUUUCGGAGCGCAGUACAUCUCGCGCUUUGCACUCAUAACGACGACGUCCAAAAGUACAUUUU
rnacentral:rRNA from 1 species